rnacentral:rRNA from 1 species
UACAGAGGGUGCGAGCGUUAAUCGGAAUUACUGGGCGUAAAGCGCGCGUAGGCGGCUUUGCAAGUCGGGUGUGAAAUCCCCGGGCUUAACCUGGGAACUGCAUUUGUGACUGCAUGGCUAGAGUGUGGCAGAGGGGGAUGGAAUUCCGCGUGUAGCAGUGAAAUGCGUAGAUAUGCGGAGGAACACCGAUGGCGAAGGCAAUCCCCUGGGCCUGCACUGACGCUCAUGCACGAAAGCGUGGGGAGCAAACAGG